rnacentral:lncRNA from 1 species
AUGGGGCAGUUAUGGGGCAGCAGUGGGGCACUUGGGGGCCAGCUAUGGGGCUCUUAUGGGUUCUACAUAGCAGUUAUGGGGCAGUCAUGGGGACUAUACGGCAUUUGGGGGCCAGCUAUGGGGCACUUAUGGGUCCUAUGUAGCAGUUAUGGGGCAGUUAUGGGGACGAUAGGGGCUGUGGGCCCACAGGUCACUUGUGGGGCAGCCACGGGGCACAAGGCUCUCUUAUGGGUCACAUAUAGGGCACGCUAUGGGGCCCACAGCUCACUUAGGGGGCAAUUAUGGGGCACUUAUGGGUCCUACGUAGCAUUUAUGGGGCAGUUACGGGGACUAUAGGGCACUUGGGGGCCAGCUAUGGGGGAAUUAUGGGUCCUAUGUAGCAGUUAUGGGGCAGUUAUGGGGACUAUAGGGGCUAUGGGCCCACAUAUGGUCACAUGGGUCACUUAGGGGGCAGCUAUGGGGCCCACAACUCACUUAGGGGGCAGUUAUGGGGCUGUUAUGGGGCCUGGGGGGCAGCUAUGGGGCACUUAUGGGUCCAAUGUCGCAUUUAUGGGGCAGUUAUGGGGACUAUAGGGCACUUAGGGGGCAGCUUUGCGGCCCACAGCUCACUUAGGGGGCAGCUAUGGGGCCCACAGCUCACUUAGGGGGCAGCUAUGGGGCUCUGUGUACCCUCACCUCCUCCUCAGCAGCGCCGCCGCUCGUUCCUGCAGCCCCUGCGGGACAGAAGCACCGGAGGACGGGGGGGUCCCGAGCCCCACACCGCCCCACACCGCCCCACAUCGCCCCACACCGCCCCAUACCGCGUCCAUCGAACCCCUGAGGGGGUCGCCGCCAAAAUGGCGCCCGCCCCAACAUGGCGCCCGCGCCCCGCCCUCCGAGGGGCGAUCCGGGCGUUGAUUGGCUGUGAGGAGUGAUGGACGCGGGGCGCAGCCAAUAGAGGGGGCGUAGAGCGUGGCGGGAUGGUUAAAAGGGGAAUCUCCACCUUCUUGGUGGCGAUGCCGGCGCUGAUUGGUUGUGAGGAGGGGAUGGACGAGGCGAACAGCCAAUAGAAAGGCGCGGUGCGUUACGCCCUCCUGCAGGCUGCGAAUGCGCCCCGCCUUCUAAACACGGACUCGAGCGCUGACUGGCUGAAAGUUAAAACGGACGUGUGCCUAGACCAAUGGGCGAGGAGAAGCGCUGUCCCGCCCUCUGAGGCCCGACUCGGGCGCUGAUUGGCUGUCAGGCGGGACGGACGGGGGAAGCGACCAAUGAGAGGGCGACGUGAGGAGCUGAGGAGGCGGCGGGCGCUGAGGGAGCGCUGAGGGAGGUGAGAAAUGGGUAAAAAUAAGGAGAAAAAGGGAAAAAGCGGGGAAUAAAAGGGAAAAUCGGGGGAUGAGAGAGGCUGUG